rnacentral:rRNA from 1 species
GCGGAUAUACAAGUCAAAUGUGAAAGGUGUAGGCUUAACCUACAGACUGCGUUUGAAACUGUAUAUCUUGAGAGCAGCAGAGGAAGGCGGAAUUCCUGGUGUAGUGGUGAAAUACGUAGAUAUCAGGAAGAACACCAGUGGCGAAGGCGGUCUUCUGGGCUGCAUCUGACGCUCAUGUACGAAAGCUGGGGUAGCGAACGGGAUUAGAUACCCCGGUAGUCCCAGCUGUAAACGAUGGUCACUAGGUGUUGGCGGUUCGAAUCCGUCAGUGUCGGAGUUAACGCAUUAAGUGACCCGCCUGGGGAAUACGGUCGCAAGACUGAAACUCAAAGGAAUUGACGGGGGCCCGCACAAGCGGUGGAGCAUGUGGUUUAAUUCGAUGCAACGCGAAGAACCUUACCGAGAAUUGACAUCCCGUGACUACCUGUGAGAGCAGGGUUUGGCACUUUGUGCCACACGGAGACAGGUGGUGCAUGGCUGUCGUCAGCUCGUGUCGUGAGAUGCUGGGUUAAGUCCCGCAACGAGCGCAACCCUUGUCCUUAGUUGCCAGCAAGUGAUGUUGGGGACUCUAAGGAGACUGCCGGUGAAAGUCGGAGGAAGGUGGGGAUGACGUCAAGUCCUCAUGCCCUUUAUAUCUCGGGCUACACACGUGCUACAAUGGUCGGAACAGAGGGAGGCGAGACCGCGAGGUCAAGCUAAUCUUGAAAACCGAUCUCAGUUCGGAUUGCAGGCUGCAACCCGCCUGCAU